UACGUAGGGGGCGAGCGUUGCUCGGAAUCACUGGGCGUAAAGGGCGUGUAGGCGGAUAGAUAAGUCGAACGUGAAAUCCCCGGGCUCAACCCGGGAACUGCGUCCGAUACUGGUGGGCUUGAAUCCGGGAGAGGGAUGUGGAAUUCCAGGUGUAGCGGUGAAAUGCGUAGAUAUCUGGAGGAACACCGGUGGCGAAGGCGGCAUCCUGGACCGGUAUUGACGCUGAGGCGCGAAAGCCAGGGGAGCAAACGGG
rnacentral:rRNA from 1 species